GCCUUCAGUUGCCUUAGGUUGAAUAGGCUUCCAUCAGUACGGUAUCAAAUGUACAUACCGUCCUGGUCAUCGAGGUCUGCCGUGGCCCUUUGGAGCAUCAUGCUGAAAAAGACUGUGAAUAGAGUUGGUGCAAGAACGCAGCCUUGUUUCACACCACUGGUUAUUAGAAAGGCCUCAGAAAGUGCAUCACCAUAUCUGACUUGGCCGCACUGAUCCUCAUGAAGUGAGAUGAUCAUUUUAAGGAACUUGGGGGGACAUCCUAAACGUUCCAAAAUCUGCCAUAGACCUUUUCUGCUCACAGUAUCAAAAGCCUUGGUGAGAUCAACAAAGGUUACACAGAGACCUUUAUUCUGUUCCCUACACUCCUCUUGCAGUUAUUCAGAUGCUACCAUCAAUAAAGCUUCUUGAAUAAUCUAUAAUCAGCGAAGCUGGUAACACCAGUAAUAACCUAUGAACCUAAGACAAAACACGUGUGUACAUAAAUAACCAAGCUGUAACUUUGGCUUAGUAAACAUUACUAAGUUGCAUGGUAGCAGGACAUUUGAUAGUGGGCAAAGAUGGCAAGCUACUUUCUUAAGGACAGUCAGUGAUGUGUUGAGAUGUGAGCCAAGAGGAUGCCAUUCAGGUACCCACUCAUAAGAGAUCCUCCCUGGCCAGCAACUCCUGCACCACCUGUCAGACAGGCUGGGGUGCACUAUCCAUCCCUGUGUGUGUGUGCAGAGGACUCAACAUUGCACAUGCAGCACGUCCAGUCACCCUGCACACAGGGAGUCACUGCUCAUGCUCCAUGGCCUGACUAGGGUCCUGAGCACUGUGCAAGGCUCUGCAAACAAGUGAUCAGAAGUACUGCUCCAGCACAGCCUGGCAGUGCUGGUCAUAUUGGGAAUCAAAUUAUUCAAUUCCCUGCUCAACUGAAUUAGUAGAAGUGGAUGGUAAGUGGGGGCCCAAUGUGCAAGAAGGUACUGGUAGCUUCUUCUUUUAUAAGGGUUUGAAAGGAUCUGGAAAGACUGUUGGAUACUGCUGUGAAGAGAAUACUUUGAACACAAACACACGCAUUACAGCAAAGGUUAAAGAAACUUCAAAAUUCUGAACUAAUAAAGUAAAACUAGAAUGAUGUGCAUAUCAAUAAAGGCAAGGAAACUAUGCCCAUGUG